AUUGAACGCUGGCGGCAGGCCUAACACAUGCAAGUCGAGCGUGCGGCGGACGGGUGAGUAAUGCCUGGAAAUUGCCCAGUCGGGGGGGAUAACAGUGGGAAACGACUGCUAAUACCGCAUACUCGGGGAUUGCCCAGGUGGGAUUGGCUUGUUGGUGGGGGAAUGGCUCACCAAGGAGACGAUCCCUAGCUGGUCUGAGGGGAUGAUCAGCCACACUGGAACUGAGACACGGUCCAGACUCCUACGGGAGGCAGCAGUGGGGAAUAUUGCACAAUGGGGGAAAGCCUGAUGCAGCCAUGCCGCGUGUGUGAAGAAGGCCUUCGGGUUGUAAAGCACUUUCAGCGAGGAGGCGUUACUCGCAGAAGAAGCACCGGCUAACUCCGUGCCAGCAGCCGCGGUAAUAC
rnacentral:rRNA from 1 species